AGUUAAUGAACUUGUAUAAGUGUAUAUUUUGAAAAUAUAAAAAAGAGUGAAACCUCUAUUAACUU
rnacentral:tRNA from 1 species